rnacentral:tRNA from 1 species
GGUUCUAUAGUGUAGCUGGUCAUCACAUCGGAUUCUGAUUCUUCAGAACAUUCCGGGGACCUGAGUUCGAAUCUCGGUAGGACCU